rnacentral:rRNA from 1 species
GACGUAGGGCGCGAGCGUUGUCCGGAUUUAUUGGGCGUAAAGAGCUCGUAGGCGGCUUGUCGCGUCGUCUGUGAAAUCCCACGGCUCAACUGUGGGCUUGCAGUCGAUACGGGCAGGCUGGAGUUCGGUAGGGGAGACUGGAAUUCCUGGUGUAGCGGUGAAAUGCGCAGAUAUCAGGAGGAACACCGGUGGCGAAGGCGGGUCUCUGGGCCGAUACUGACGCUGAGGAGCGAAAGCGUGGGGAGCAAACAGG